CCAGAGCUGCGUCCACACCCCUGAAAAGACCACGAUAUGAGGUGUCUGUUGUUGAUCCCAGCUUCCACCUCAAUGACAGUGCAAGCUCAGUGAACUGUUCAAGCUCUUUCACUGAGGUCCAUCCACAAAAGGACAAGAAGUACAUUGUUCAUGAGAAACAGUUGCUGGGGCUGUUCAGAAGGUGUCCCGUUUGUACCGGUCGUUGUGUUGUGAACACGACAACAGUCGGCACACUGCUCCGUGUGACACAACGGUGUUCAUGCUGUGAGCACUACAAUGAGUGGUCCAGUCAGCCUAUGGUGAACAGCAUCCCAGCAGGAAACCUCCAGCUCUGUGCUGCUGUCCUUUUCACAGGAUCAUCAUUUAGCCAGAUUUCUAAGUUCCUGGGUGCCUUCAAUGUGCAGGGACUGUCCAAGCAGACAUUCUGACGACAUCAGGCAAAGCUGUUAAUUCCAACAGUGGCAGCCACAGCAAGCUGAUAUCAUCCAGGAGGCUACUGA